CAGUCGCCGCGGUAAUACGUAGGGUGCGAGCGUUAAUCGGAAUUACUGGGCGUAAAGCGUGCGCAGGCGGUUAUAUAAGACAGAUGUGGAAUCCCCGGGCUCAACCUGGGACCUGCAUUUGUGACUGUAUAGCUAGAGUACGGUAGAGGGGGAUGGAAUUCCGCGUGUAGCAGUGAAAUGCGUAGAUAUGCGGAGGAACACCGAUGGCGAAGGCAAUCCCCUGGACCUGUACUGACGCUCAUGCACGAAAGCGUGGGGAGCAAACAGGAUUAGAUACCCCAGUAGUCCCUGUCUCUUAUAC
rnacentral:rRNA from 1 species